GACGAACGCUGGCGGCGUGCUUAACACAUGCAAGUCGAACGGUGAACCUCUUCGAGGGGGUCAGUGGCGAACGGGUGGGUAACCAGUGGGCAACCUGCCCCCGGCCCCGGGAUAAAUCCCAGAAAUUGGGGCCAAUACCGGAUGUUCACCCCUUCCCGCAUGGGUGGUGGUGGGAAGGGUUUCCGGCUGGGGAUGGGCCCGCGGCCUAUCAGCUUGUUGGUGGGGUAGUGGCCUACCAAGGCGACGACGGGUAGCCGGCCUGAGAGGGUGACCGGCCACACUGGGACUGAGACACGGCCCAGACUCCUACGGGAGGCAGCAGUGGGGAAUAUUGCGCAAUGGGCGGAAGCCUGACGCAGCGACGCCGCGUGGGGGAUGACGGCCUUCGGGUUGUAAACCUCUUUCAGCAGGGACGAAGCGCAAGUGACGGUACCUGCAGAAGAAGCACCGGCCAACUACGUG
rnacentral:rRNA from 1 species